CGAACGCUGGCGGCAGGCCUAACACAUGCAAGUCGAACGGGUGCAGCAAUGCAUCAGUGGCAGACGGGUGAGUAACACGUGGGAACCUUCCUAGGGGUACGGAACAACUCAGGGAAACUUGAGCUAAUACCGUAUACGUCCGUGAGGAGAAAGAUUUAUCGCCCUUAGACGGGCCCGCGUCGGAUUAGCUAGUUGGUGGGGUAACGGCCUACCAAGGCGACGAUCCGUAGCUGAUCUUAGAGGAUGAUCAGCCACACUGGGACUGAGACACGGCCCAGACUCCUACGGGAGGCAGCAGUGGGGAAUCUUGGACAAUGGGGGCAACCCUGAUCCAGCCAUGCCGCGUGAGUGAAGAAGGUCUUCGGAUUGUAAAGCUCUUUUGCCAGGGACGAUAAUGACGGUACCUGGAGAAUAAGCCCCGGCAAACUUCGUGCCAGCAGCCGCGGUAAUCUGAUG
rnacentral:rRNA from 1 species